rnacentral:rRNA from 1 species
UGGGGAAUAUUGCGCAAUGGGGGAAACCCUGACGCAGCCAUGCCGCGUGAGUGAAGAAGGUCUUCGGAUCGUAAAGCUCUUUCAACGGUGAAGAUGAUGACGGUAGCCGUAGAAGAAGCCCCGGCUAACUUCGUGCCAGCAGCCGCGGUAAUACGAAGGGGGCAAGCGUUGUUCGGAAUUACUGGGCGUAAAGGGCGUGUAGGCGGUCUAAUCAGUCAGUGGUGAAAGCCCUGGGCUCAACCCAGGAAUUGCCUUUGAUACUGUUAGACUAGAGUUCGGGAGAGGAUAGUGGAAUUCCCAGUGUAGAGGUGAAAUUCGUAGAUAUUGGGAAGAACACCAGUGGCGAAGGCGGCUAUCUGGACCGAUACUGACGCUGAGGCGCGAAAGCGUGGGGAGCAAACAGGAUUAGAUACCCUGGUAGUCCACGCCGUAAACGAUGUCUGCUAGUCGUUGGGGGGCGUAGCCCUUCAGUGGACGCCGCUAACGCAUUAA